rnacentral:rRNA from 1 species
CGGACGGGUGAGUAACGCGUGGAGAACCUGCCGUAUACUGGGGGAUAACACUUAGAAAUAGGUGCUAAUACCGCAUAAGCGCACAGCUUCGCAUGAAGCAGUGUGAAAAACUCCGGUGGUAUACGAUGGAUCCGCGUCUGAUUAGCUUGUUGGCGGGGUAAAGGCCCACCAAGGCGACGAUCAGUAGCCGGCCUGAGAGGGUGAACGGCCACAUUGGGACUGAGACACGGCCCAAACUCCUACGGGAGGCAGCAG